GAUGAACGCUGGCGGCAGGCCUAACACAUGCAAGUCGAGCGAAUGAGAAGAGCUUGCUCUUCGAUUCAGCGGCGGACGGGUGAGUAAUGCCUAGGAAUCUGCCUGGUAGUGGGGGACAACGUUUCAAAAGGAACGCUAAUACCGCAUACGUCCUACGGGAGAAAGCAGGGGACCUUCGGGCCUUGCGCUAUCAGAUGAGCCUAGGUCGGAUUAGCUAGUUGGUGAGGUAAUGGCUCACCAAGGCGACGAUCCGUAACUGGUCUGAGAGGAUGAUCCGUCACACUGGAACUGAGACACGGUCCAGACUCCUACGGGAGGCAGCAGUGGGGAAUAUUGGACAAUGGGCGAAAGCCUGAUCCAGCCAUGCCGCGUGUGUGAAGAAGGUCUUCGGAUUGUAAAGCACUUUAAGUUGGGAGGAAGGGCAGUAAGUUAAUACCUUGCUGUUUUGACGUUACCGACAGAAUAAGCACCGGCUAACUCUGUGCCAGCAGCCGCGGUAACAC
rnacentral:rRNA from 1 species